rnacentral:lncRNA from 1 species
GCCUUUCUAGCCAUCCGUAAUGUUGUAUUUAUCCAUUGUUAACCCCGUUGAGCCUGUGCCUCCUUGUGUUGUGAAAACCAUUAUGUUAACCAUAAGCCAAACACUUCCUACCCUCGCUCGGCAUGACUGUUGUAGUUCCAAAUUCGUGCAAAAAGAUAAGUUUGGGGUGGUGAUCCUUAGAAAUUGAAAAAGGGCAAGUGCAACAAAAGAAAAAAAAAGGUUUGUAGAAACAUAUACUUCUACCGAAAAUAAAAAGAGAAAAGAAAUGAAAAAUGGAGAUGAGAUAAAAAGCACUUGCCUAAGUCAAAGACUCAUGCCAUAAUGAGAUAAUCAAAGAAAGAAAAAUAGAGUGAAGAAAAAAAAAGAGUCAAGUUGGACAACACCCCAUGAAAUAAAUUGUGCACAAAGAAUAGAAACAACAUAAAUGCCGAGUUUUAAACCCCCUAUCACCCAUUUCCUUGUAUUUCCCCACCAUACC